rnacentral:rRNA from 1 species
CCUACGGGCGGCAGCAGUGGGGAAUAUUGGACAAUGGGGGGAACCCUGAUCCAGCCAUGCCGCGUGUGUGAAGAAGGCCCUCGGGUUGUAAAGCACUUUCAGUGAGGAAGAACGCCUGGUGGUUAAUACCCAUCAGGAAAGACAUCACUCACAGAAGAAGCACCGGCUAACUCCGUGCCAGCAGCCGCGGUAAUACGGAGGGUGCGAGCGUUAAUCGGAAUUACUGGGCGUAAAGCGCGCGUAGGUGGCUUGAUAAGCCGGUUGUGAAAGCCCCGGGCUCAACCUGGGAACGGCAUCCGGAACUGUCAAGCUAGAGUGCAGGAGAGGAAGGUAGAAUUCCCGGUGUAGCGGUGAAAUGCGUAGAGAUCGGGAGGAAUACCAGUGGCGAAGGCGACCUUCUGGACUGACACUGACACUGAGGUGCGAAAGCGUGGGUAGCAAACAGGAUUAGAUACCCCAGUAGUC